AGGACAAUUCCAGAAACAGCGUGCUUCAGGAACUGCGGUGCAGGUGUUUUACCUUGGAUCCACCACAGUUGGCUAAAACCGGCAGCUCAGGACAAGUGGACCAGUCAGCAGGACCCAGAUCACCCAACCUGGUUGAUCCUGAGAUGAGACCAAGCUGCUGCUAAAGAUGACUGCCCUGCUCUGGUCACUCCGGAAGCUGACUACUCUACCCACGGCUGAAGCUUGAGGAC
rnacentral:lncRNA from 10 species